AAAUACCAAUGACAAUUAAAAAUACUAAACUAGAAAGUUGCAAUUAAAAAAAAUGUAGAAUAAAAAAAAUUAAAAUUAAAACAACUAAAAAGAAAAGAUAAAUAUUAAGGGUCGUGGGUUGCCUUCACGUAGCACUUCGUUUAACGUCGGGAGCUCGACUACCGAACUUGUAAAUUGUUUAGAUAAUUAGUUUUCUAAGGCCAUUUAUCGAGCCA
rnacentral:lncRNA from 1 species